UCGUCUGUGGUGCUAUGGCACCAUAUGUACGUUGAUGCAAAGUAAAGAACAUAGAAAAUGUAUACAGUAGGCCUAGGCCUAUUCUUUGGUUGAUCUGAAAGUAUCAAGCAGCCUGGCCUCAAACUAAUGAUUGAUUUGCCUAACCACCAGAAAGAGAAGUCACAGCUUUUUAGCAGACAAAAAUAAUCCAGAUGCUGGGAAUAACCACAAUACAAUCCUCGCAGCACCAUUUACUGCACAAGACAAAACUAAUUCCUCCAUGACAAAACAGAGUUGUCAAUGCAAGUCAACAUUUUUCAGAGGAGCUAACAAAAACAGCACUCUGAGACGAAACAAGACUCAUGAAGACGUAAUUUAAUACAAUUAGUACAAACCUAAAGACAAUAAAACAGAAAGAGAAGACACAGCUUUUGAGCAGACAACAAAUAAUCCAAAUGCUAGGAAUAACCACAAUACAAUUCUCGCAGCACCAUCUACUGCACAAGACCAAACUAAUUCCUCCAUGACAAGACAGUCGUCAAUGCAAGUCAACAUUUGUAAGAGGAGCUAACAAAAACAGCUCUCUGAGGCAAAACAAGACUCAUGAGGUAAUUUUAUACAGUAAGUUUGUUUAAAUUAAUUGAUAACCAAAGAGAUAGCUUUCACAAGUUAACAUUUUUAAACUGUCAGCUUAUAAUAAUCAUACACUUUUCUUUCUUUGAAAAGUAAUGAAAAUAUACAUGAAGAAAGACAAGUCAUGUAUAACAAACAUAAGGAUGAAACUGUACAGUGGAGGAGUGCAAAACAAAUAUAAACAUUGUUUCUGCACUGAUGGU